ACACUUCCCUUUAAAUAAGUAUAAAUCUAAAACACCCUCAAAAAUAUGAUUAUCAAGAAAAUUAUAUAAGUUAAGACCCUCAAAAACCCAAUUUAAACCCUAAAGUCUCAUACCCAUUCAUCACUCUUAUCCUAAACAUACCCCACCCCACCCACCACUCCCAACUCCCCACCUCAAUUCCCACAUGCAUUAACAAAAAGACUCCUAAUUUCAGCUCCUCAUUAUCAAACCCUAAAGAAAUCAACCCUGUUCACAACACUUCUUUUUCUCCAACACCUCCAUUAACAACCCAACAAAACAAAAGCACCACAAAAAAGAUCAAAUUUUGAGGAAUACCCUUUUCUUGUUUUUGUUGAAUAAGCCAAAAAAGCAAAAAAGAUCAAAUUUUGAGGAAUACCCUUUAGUUGUUUUUGUAGAAUAAGCAAAAGAAAACUAAAAAAGAUCAAAUUCUGAGAGGUAUACUGAAAUUAUAAGAAAUACCCUUUCUUGUUUUUGCUGAAUAACUAGAUUUUAGCUAAGCCAAGCUAAGUUUGAGCUCAAGAAAAAUCUUUUCUUGGGCAAUCACUGUCCUUGAAGAGAGAGAAAAUAAAGAGGUCUUUUUCUGUUUUUAUAGCACACCCGACCAAGCUAGACCUGAUAGCAGUAGAGAGAGAAACAAGAGAGAGAGAAGACUGUGUGUGUGUGUACAGAGAGGUUAAAUUAAUGGCUCAUUCUCUCUCUCUUUCUUGCUCCGUGUACUCUAUCAGAAUGAAGUUCAAGGAAAAUUGAAUCACAACCGUUGAUUGAACCGUACAUGAUGAAUUUUGACCGUUGAAUUGGGAAGUAUGAUAUGACAGGAGACAUGUGCCACCAUUCUUCAAUGGUCAUUGUCAGAGUACGGACCGUCCAAUAUAAUAUUGCACCUGAUCAAGAAAGAGAAAAAGAGAAAGAAAGAAGAAGAAGGUGAAAGAUUUUGCAUAUAUCUAAGUGAAAAUACAAAGAGUGGCAGAUAUUUUUUUCCCUGCUUUAGGUACUUAUACUAUUAUGCAUUAAUGGUUGUACAUUUUUAUCUGCUGAUGUCAUGAACCAGAGUGAAAAUAACAAUGUGAUUUACAUUUGAG
rnacentral:lncRNA from 1 species